GCGUGGUAUGACUAUUUUUGGUCUACAAGAUUCUGUAAUUAGGCCCCUCAUUGUCAGCACCAGGCCCACUGGGCUCUUAACAUGGCCCUGUAUACAGGGAGCACUGACAGUCCUGGGAUAUUAUACAGAGAGCAGCACUAUAGUAUUAUACAGAUCGCUGAGCAUAUACUUAAUGUCCCAAUCUCUACACAACUAGUACCAGAAUACAAAGCAGCCUGGGGGGGGAAGGAAGGAAGAAAGUAUGCCAGCCCUAUAAGAUAUAGAAUUAUACAGUAAGCGCACACAAGCUCACUGAUAAACAGGCUCAAAGACAGACAAGUUCACUGACACACACAAGCUUACUACAGCUGAACUCGGUUGCAUAGACACAAGCUCACUAAAUAGAAGCUCACUGGCACACAAGCCGUACCAUCUUAACAGCUUUAUGGGACAACCGGCAAAGCAGUGCACUGGGGCCCUUCCUACACAACUCACAGGAAGAAAAAUUUAAGUUAUUAAUAAAUUAAACUAUCUUUAUUGGUACCUCCAACAAAUGUCUGUCCCUUUUCAAUGACUUAGUAGCUUUGGCGGCCACUACAGGCAAGAACGUAUAAUUCUAACUAAACUAGAAAAUCGGGAACAUGGCAGUGUGUGAAGGGUGCAGUGUGCGACAGGUGCUGUGUGUCUCUCUCUGAAGGAUGCAGUGUGUGACAGGUGCUGUGUGUCUGAAGGAUGCUGUGUAAGGAUCGACUGAUUAUUGAUCUGGCCUAUAUUAUUGGCCAAUAUUCUGAAUUUUCAGCAAUAUCUGUAUCGGCCCAUAAAGAUACCGAUAAUGCAGACCAGGGCCACCAUCAGGGCUUCUCGGUUGUCGUGGGCCUGUAGCACACUCUUAACUUCCCAGCAGCUCCCUUCAGCUCCCCUGUCUAAAUCUGGUUACCAUGGCAACGCUUUGCGCUGCACGCGAUCUGCGAG